rnacentral:rRNA from 1 species
CCUGAGAAACCCAAAAGAUCCAAUGGGGAGAUUCAUCGUCAGCUCWUUUUGUAUAUGUAUGAGUUACGAUGCGGGUUACUACUUGUAGUAUUGCCUGCACGUUCUUUUACAUUUMAUUGCAAAAUGUUGUCGGCGUGCACUUCUUCCCUAGUAGGACGUCGUGACCCGUUGAGAGUUGGUCUACGGCCCAAGUUGGUAGUCUGUAAUGUUUAAAAUCAUUAUAGGCCCUUGGUUUUUUCUGACCCAACUACUCGGCGGUAUACGUAUGGUAUUAAGCCGCAAAAUUCAAUAUGCGUUUAUUCCCGUCGCAAGCGAGGCYAAUUUCUGGUAGUACGGACUUAGUGCCGUCGCUGGUAUUGGCCAGCUGUUGGUUGUACGGUGUUCUAAAACUGGCUUAAAUUMAUUACCGGUCGGCGAUGCUACUGCUUUGGGUACUUUCAGGACCCGUCUUGAAACACGGACCAAGGAGUCUAACAUGUGCGCAAGUCAUUGGGAUUUUUAUUAAAUUAAACCUAAAGGCAUAAUGAAAGUAAAUAUCGUCCUUGCGUCGAUUGAGGGAGGAUGAGUUGUGUUAUGAUGCAUCUCCGCACUCCCGGGGCGUCUCAUUCUUAUUAUAAGAAGAGGCGCACCUAG